GGGGAGAAAAAAAUAAGUCCAUUCCUUGUUUUUUGUUUUUUUCCCCUCUCUCCUUUCCCCUCUCCUGGCAAGCAGCCGGUGGAAAAUCCAUGCCGGGUUUUGCGUGCCGCCCGCCCCCCCUCGGUAGAAAUUGGAAAAUUCAAUAAUUAAAGCAAAAUGGAGAGACGGAGCGGUGGUGGGGGGGGGGGGGUGAAAAAAAAAUCCCGGAUCAGGGCAACUUAGAUGGCGCAUGCGCGCUCCGAACCCUCCAUCCCAAACACAAGACAAUUUCCCUGUACUUGGAAAGUCACCCAAAGCAGCUCAAGUGCAGAGCAAAGAGGCCUCACGACCCACAGGGAACCCAUCAGACUUGAGCUGCAUCUGAAGCACCCUGGAGGGGGGGUUUCUGGAUCCUGAGAGUCCCUCCUUUAAGUGUGGUUUGGAAUGGAUUUCAAGUUCAGCCGCCUCCAGGCACAAGGAUGAAGUGACUUCACAGCGUUCAUUCAACACAAACAAUUUGCGGAAUCUUGAUUCCAGAAUUCUCAAAAGGUGGGAGAACCCACCAGGACCACAAAUGGGUAAGUUUGCCCACGCGGGAUACUUUUCUUCUUACUUUUUUUUUUUUUUUUUGGUGUGUGUUACUCGUAUGUGUCUGUUAUCAGUGUGGUGCUUAGAUUCAUCCCAUGGCCUUCUCCGAUGCUUUAUACUUUUCCCGGAGCCUAAAAGAGAGAAUAUAAAGCUGCAGGAAGAAAGGCCCAGCCAGCAGCCACCUGGGUUUCCUCUGGCAAAGAGAAACUCGGGGCUUGGCUUCCUCCUGAUGCCACGCGACGACUGUCUCUGCUUGGGCCUGUGCUGUGCCCGAGUGGCAGCCUGCUCUCUCGCGGGGAAGGAAGGGGAAAUACCCGCUCGAGUAAUUAUUAGUUAAAUGCUUCCCCGUUUAUAAGAAGCUUUGCACCGCAGGAUUUGCCGAUCGCCUUUCAGGAGGCAUCCGUUUGAAAUCUUAGCGGUCAGCAUCUCAGAUUAAGCAGGCCACCUGUGGACAUUUUGAUUUAGGAGGCUUCCUCUCAUGUUAGGUGAGGCUGCCUUUCUCCAAAGCUAAGAAUAGAAUAGA